rnacentral:rRNA from 1 species
GCUUUCGGGUCGUAAAACUCUGUUGUUAGGGAAGAACAAGUGCUAGUUGAAUAAGCUGGCACCUUGACGGUACCUAACCAAAAAGCCACGGCUAACUACGUGCCAGCAGCCGCGGUAAUACCUACGUGGCAAGCGUUAUCCGGAAUUAUUGGGCGUAAAGCGCGCGCGGGUGGUUUCUUAAGUCUGAUGUGAAAGCCCACGGCUCAACCGUGGAGGGUCAUUGGAAACUGGGACACUUGAGUGCCUAAGAGGAAAGUGGAAUUCCAUGUGUAUCGGUGAAUUGCGUAGAGAUAUGGAGGAACACCAGUGGCGAAGGCGACUUUCUGGUCUGUAACUGACACUGAGGCGCGAAAGCGUGGGGAGCACACAGGAUUAGAUACCCUGGUAGUCCACGCCGUAAACGAUGAGUGCUAAGUGUUAGAGGGUUUCCGCCCUUUAGUGCUGAACUUAACGCAUUAAGCACUCCGCCUGGGGAGUACUGCCGCAAGGUUGAAAUUCAAGGAAUUGACGGGGGCCCCCCCAAGCGGUGGAACUUGUGGUUUAUUCCAAAUCACCGCUAAAAAACCUUACAAGGACUUGGAUAUCCUC